CUCGGUGACCAAAGCGGCGGGGAAAUACCUGUUCCCAUCCCGAACACAGCAGUCAAGCCCGCCAGCGCCGAUGGUACUGCCCUGGCAACGGGGUGGGAGAGUAGGUCAUCGCCGGGU
rnacentral:rRNA from 1 species